AUUGAACGCUGGCGGCGGGCUUUACACAUGCAAGUCGGACGAGUGGCGGACGGGUGAGUAACGUAUCGGAACGUACCGAGUAAUGGGGGAUAACUGCUCGAAAGGACAGCUAAUACCGCAUACUAUUCGAGCGGCCGAUGUGGGAUUAGCUGGUUGGUGGGGUAAAGGCCCACCAAGGCGACGAUCGGUAGCUGGUCUGAGAGGAUGAUCAGCCACACUGGAACUGAGACACGGCCCAGACUCCGACGGGAGGCAGCAGUGGGGAAGAUUGGACAAUGGGCGCAAGCCUGAUGCAGCCAUGCCGCGUGUCUGAAGAAGGCCUUCGGGGUGUAAAGGACUUUCAUCGGGGAGGCGUUACCUGCAGAAGAAGCACCGGCUAACUACGUGCCAGCAGCCGCGGUAAUUC
rnacentral:rRNA from 1 species